ensembl:lncRNA
GCGGCGGCGAGUGGGCGGGGUGCGGGCAGCAUAGCACUCUGCCUUUGGGAGGAUACUGGAACCUUGAUAUUUUUAAAUUGUCAGCUGGAAGUUCUGGUGGUUCAGACGGUAAAGAAAAUGCCUACAAGGCAGAAGACUCGACUUCAUCCCUCUGUGGGGAAGAUCCUCUGGAGAAGGGAAUGGCUACCCACUCCAAUAUUCUUGCCUAGAGAAUUCCAUGAACAGAGACCUGGAGGCAUGUGGGAUCUCAGCUCCCCAACCACAGAUGGAACCUACCCCCCUGCAUUGGAAGGGGAAGUUCUCACCACUGGAUGCCAG